rnacentral:pre_miRNA from 1 species
CGUUAAAAUUUUAUCCAUUUGUACGGUUAAAAUUUCACGUGAUUAACAAAAUAACUAAACAACGAUACGUGACAUGCCGCAUGUACCUCAUGUUGACGUACAUAGACUAGUUUUUAAUAGCAAAAAUGAAUGAAAUUUUUAAUA